rnacentral:rRNA from 1 species
AUUGAACGCUGGCGGCAUGCUUUACACAUGCAAGUCGAACGGUAACAGGGAGCUUGCUCCGCUGACGAGUGGCGAACGGGUGAGUAAUGCAUCGGAACGUGCCUAUUUGUGGGGGAUAACGUAGCGAAAGUUACGCUAAUACCGCAUACGCCCUGAGGGGGAAAGCGGGGGAUUCGUAAGAACCUCGCGCAAUUAGAGCGGCCGAUGUCGGAUUAGCUAGUUGGUGGGUAAAGGCUCACCAAGGCGACGAUCCGUAGCGGGUCUGAGAGGAUGAUCCGCCACACUGGGACUGAGACACGGCCCAGACUCCUACGGGAGGCAGCAGUGGGGAAUUUUGGACAAUGGGCGAAAGCCUGAUCCAGCCAUGCCGCGUGAGUGAAGAAGG